AUUCAACUGACGAGUCUCAAAUAGGACAAAAUGUGCGUACUGGAU
rnacentral:hammerhead_ribozyme from 1 species